UUCCGGUUGGUCCCGCCGGACCUGACUGCUAUCGGAUUGAUACUAAGCCAUGCGAGUCAUUGUAGCAAUACAAGGCAGACGGCUCAGUAACGCGUAGUCAACCUAACCUAUGGAUGGGAAUAACCUCGGGAAACUGAGAAUAAUGCCCGAUAGAACACUAUAUCUGGAAUGGUUUGUGUUCCAAAUGAUUUAUCGCCGUAGGAUGGGACUGCGGCCUAUCAGUUUGUUGGUGAGGUAAUGGCCCACCAAGACUAUUACAGGUACGGGCUCUGAGAGGAGUAGCCCGGAGAUGGGUACUGAGACACGGACCCAGGCCCUAUGGGGCGCAGCAGGCGAGAAAACUUUGCAAUGUGCGAAAGCGCGACAAGGUUAAUCCGAGUGGUUUGUGCUAAACGAACCUUUUGUCGGUCCUAGAAACACCGAUGAAUAAGGGGUGGGCAAGUUCUGGUGUCAGCCGCCGCGGUAAAACCAGCACCUCAAGUGGUCAGGAUGAUUAUUGGGCCUAAAGCAUCCGUAGCCGGCGCUAUAAGUUUUCGGUUAAAUCUGUACGCUCAACGUACAGGCUGCCGGGAAUACUGUAGCGCUAGGGAGUGGGAGAGGUAGACGGUACUCGGUAGGAAGGGGUAAAAUCCUUUGAUCUAUUGAUGACCACCUGUGGCGAAGGCGGUCUACCAGAACACGUCCGACGGUGAGGGAUGAAAGCUGGGGGAGCAAACCGGAUUAGAUACCCGGGUAGUCCCAGCUGUAAACUAUGCAAACUCAGUGAUGCAUUGGCUUGUGGCCAAUGCAGUGCUGCAGGGAAGCCGUUAAGUUUGCCGCCUGGGAAGUACGUACGCAAGUAUGAAACUUAAAGGAAUUGGCGGGGGAGCACCACAAGGGGUGAAGCCUGCGGUUCAAUUGGAGUCAACGCCGGG
rnacentral:rRNA from 2 species